rnacentral:rRNA from 1 species
AGUUUGAUCAUGGCUCAGAGCGAACGCUGGCGGCGUGCUUAACACAUGCAAGUCGAGUGCGUAGCUUCCUGUAGCAAUACAGGGAGUGGGCGCACGGCGCACGGGUGCGUAACACGUGGGCAAUCUGCCCUCGGAUGGGGGAUAACUCGCCGAAAGGCGAGCUAAUACCGCAUGACAUUCCGAAGACUCCGGUCUUUGGACUCAAAGGCCGCAAGGCCGUCUGAGGAGGAGCCCGCGCCCGAUUAGCUAGUUGGUGAGGUAACGGCUCACCAAGGCUUUGAUCGGUAGCCGGUCUGAGAGGAUGGCCGGCCACACUGGAACUGAGACACGGUCCAGACUCCUACGGGAGGCAGCAGUGGGGAAUAUUGCGCAAUGGGCGAAAGCCUGACGCAGCGACGCCGCGUGGGGGAUGAAGCUUCUCGGAGUGUAAACCCCUUUCGACCCGGACGAAUGACCCGCAAGGGUUUGACGGUACGGGUAUAAGAAGCCCCGGCUAACUACGUGCCAGCAGCCGCGGUAGUCGGGCCCAAUCGCC